CCAAAGGCUCUUUUAAGAGCCAUCCACAUUCUCACAUUUAAAAGAG
rfam:TPA: Bos taurus chromosome 23, whole genome shotgun sequence.